rnacentral:rRNA from 1 species
AACGAACGCUGGCGGCAGGCCUAACACAUGCAAGUCGAACGCCCUAGCAAUAGGGAGUGGCAGACGGGUGAGUAACACGUGGGAACCUUCCCUAUAGUACGGAAUAGCCCAGGGAAACUUGGAGUAAUACCGUAUACGCCCGAGAGGGGAAAGACUUAUCGCUAUAGGAUGGGCCCGCGUCGGAUUAGCUAGUUGGUGAGGUAAUGGCUCACCAAGGCAACGAUCCGUAGCUGGUUUGAGAGAAUGACCAGCCACACUGGGACUGAGACACGGCCCUGACUCCUACGGGAGGCAGCAGUGGGGAAUCUUGGACAAUGGGCGCAAGCCUGAUCCAGCCAUGCCGCGUGAGUGAUGAAGGCCUUAGGGUUGUAAAGCUCUUUUGGCGGGGACGAUAAUGACGGUACCCGCAGAAUAAGUCCCGGCUAACUUCGUGCCAGCAGCCGCGGUAA